ensembl:lncRNA
GCGCCCACCUCCUCCGGUUUACCCCGCCCAGCAGGCACCAAACCCCCUGGUGAGGUGGACGCGCUCCGUAGACGAAGGAUAUGACUCCGCCCCCGGGGAUGUUCCGCGGAUGGACCGCCGUGACCCGCGGGUGGAGUUAGUCCUUUUCUACGACAUGGUGGUUGGUAUUGAUGCGAGGCUGAGCAUGCUUCGUCUGGUGUCGUCUCUCUACCUGGGGGAGCAGCAGAUGGGGCUGCCGGCCCCCCUGCCCUGUGUCCUGUGUCAACCGGGGGUAGAAAUGCCCUUUUCCCAACAACUGCCCCCAGGAGGCUACGCCCCCCUGCUGGUCAAACAGCCGACUCUGCCCGUACCCCGGCCUCUGCCUGGUGAUGGAGGUCCACGGGCCAGGGGCGCGCCACGGUCCCAGGAGGCAGGAGAUGAUGUCUCUGGGCUGGGCACGGCUGGAGCUCUUUGACCUAAACAGCCAGGUACUAACUCCCAUGAUCCCAGGCCACACUACAUCCGAAACACGGGCAGAACACUUUAUCUUCCAGCAUAGCUGCCGCUAAAGACAAGACUGCAGAAUGUAAUGUUAUUCUUAUGUUUCUCCAAAUGAAUAAGUAAAGGGAUUAAACUUAAAUGUAUAUGGCAGUAUCCAUACAUAGCACUUUACCUACCUUGUUUUCAGCUCCACAGGGGCUAUUGGAAGGUUCCGGUUCGCAGCCUUCCAGUUACACCGGCCAAACAUCAAGUCGACCUCGACUCUGUGCCACAGGUGGGCCAUAUGGAGAUACUGUUGCGUGUGGCCGGACCUGAAGGAGAUGCACCAGUUCAGCCUGGUUCCAGUGCUCCGGGGCAAUAUGAACAUCCCAUAGUGGUUUCUUCUCAUGCAGUACCUGUACCAGUCUCAGUAACGUCUUCAACAACGUCAUUGUUAAGCCAUGAGUUCCCCAUAACAGCCAAUCAAAGCUUCUCCGGUCCAAUUGACCAAAACGAGGAAGCCAACCAGAGUUCAGAGGAAGUGGACGACCAAAUAGGUGGACCUCAGUGCUUCCACAGUUGACUGAGUUCGUGUUCAGGCCGCCCACAGUCUUUGCUUUGGAGGACGAGCCUUUGAGUCGUUUCUCUCCCUCACAAACGUCACUCAGAGGAAUCCGAGCUUCGAGUGGAAUCAUGGGCUGAACGUCGUCCAUGAGAUCCAGCAGCUUUUUCUUGAUGUGCUCCAGCCCCCUCUGCUCCUCCACCAGAUGCACCUUCUCCGUGAGGUGUUUCAGGAGAUCAGAACAUUCCUUCCUCACAAACGUCUUCCUGGACCAUAUGAGCUCCCCGUUGACGGCGUGGCCCGUGUGGGCGCUUGGCGACGGAGUCUUGAUGAUGUAAACGUUCUCCCAGAUCACGGGGUCUCUCUGCAGGGCCUGUUUCAGCCGGGCUGAAGCCGCCCGCUUUGUCCGGUCCUUAUUGUCC